rnacentral:rRNA from 1 species
GAUGAACGCUAGCUACAGGCUUAACACAUGCAAGUCGAGGGGCAGCAUGAACUUAGCUUGCUAAGUUUGAUGGCGACCGGCGCACGGGUGAGUAACACGUAUCCAACCUGCCGAUGACUCGGGGAUAGCCUUUCGAAAGAAAGAUUAAUACCCGAUGGCAUAGUUCUUCCGCAUGGUAGAACUAUUAAAGAAUUUCGGUCAUCGAUGGGGAUGCGUUCCAUUAGGUUGUUGGCGGGGUAACGGCCCACCAAGCCUUCGAUGGAUAGGGGUUCUGAGAGGAAGGUCCCCCACAUUGGAACUGAGACACGGUCCAAACUCCUACGGGAGGCAGCAGUGAGGAAUAUUGGUCAAUGGACGAGAGUCUGAACCAGCCAAGUAGCGUGAAGGAUGACUGCCCUAUGGGUUGUAAACUUCUUUUAUACGGGAAUAAAGUGAGGCACGUGUGCCUUUUUGUAUGUACCGUAUGAAUAAGGAUCGGCUAACUCCGUGCCAGCAGCCGCGGUAAUACGGAGGAUCCGAGCGUUAUCCGGAUUUAUUGGGUUUAAAGGGAGCGUAGGCGGACGCUUAAGUCAGUUGUGAAAGUUUGCGGCUCAACCGUAAAAUUGCAGUUGAUACUGGGUGUCUUGAGUACAGUAGAGGCAGGCGGAAUUCGUGGUGUAGCGGUGAAAUGCUUAGAUAUCACGAAGAACUCCGAUUGCGAAGGCAGCCUGCUGGACUGUAACUGACGCUGAUGCUCGAAAGUGUGGGUAUCAAACAGGAUUAGA